ACACAAUCUUACAAUCUCAAUGGAUAUAUUUAAUCAAAAUAUGCAUCUUUUGCGUUCCAUUAUUUCUGUACACUUAACUGGAAUUUUCUUACAACUCGUCACUCACUUUGAGUGGUUUACUUGUUUCCUUUCUCAAAAUGACACAAUUCAACUAUUAUAGAUAGCAGUUGUAUGCUAAUUUCUAUAAUCAAAAUAUGAACUUAGUGGAAGCAAACAAAGUCUCUCGGAGUAAUAUGGAAUAACGAUUAUGUUCUAUUCUGGACAUACUUGUGGUGCCUACUACUUAGACAAUUAUCACUCUGCUUAUGCCUAUUUCUUUCAAAAAGAUUCCCAUUCUUUCCUAAUAUAUAAAUUUGUAAAACAUCCAUCAUCAUCAUCAACAACAACAACAACAUAGCCUUUCAGUCCCAAGCAAGUUGGGGUAGGCUAGAGUUGAAACCCAACAAGAGCCACAAAUCAGGGUUCGGGCACAUGAAUAGCUAUUUUCCAAGCACUCCUAUCCAGGGCUAAAUCUUAGGGUAUAUUCCAUCCCUUCAAAAUCUCCUUUUAUUGCCUCUUCCCAUGUCAAUUUUGGUCUUCCUCUGCCUCUCUUCACAUUACUGUCACGCCUUAGGUUUCCACUACACACCGGUGCCUCCAGAGGCCUUCAUUGGACAUGUCCAAACCAUCUCAGCCGGUGUUGGAUAAGCUUUUCUUCAAUUGGUGCUACCCCUAACCUAUCACGUAUAUCCUCAUUCCAGACUUGAUCCCUUCUCGUAUGACCACAAAUCCAACGUAACAUACGCAUUUCCGCAACACUUAUCUAUUGGACAUAUCGUCUUUUUGUAGGCCAACAUUCUGCACCAUACAGCAUUGCAGGUCUAAUCGUCAUCCUAUAAAACUUGCCUUUUAGCUUCAAUAGUACCCUCUUAUCAUAUAAAAUUUCUGAUGUUUGGCGCCACUUCAUCCACCCCGCUUUGAUUCUAUGACUAACAUCCUCAUUAAUAUCCCCAUCUCAUUGUAGCAUUGAUCCCAAAUAUCGAAAUGCAUCAAAGUCACAUCUCCGUCCUCAUGUGUAGUAGUGCCAAAGUCACAUCUCAUAUAUUCAGUUUUAGUUCUGAUGAGUCUAAAACCUUUUGACUUUAGGGUCUCCCGCCACAACUCCAGUUUCCUAUUUACUCUUGCUCGACUUUCAUCAACUAGCACUACAUCAUCCAUGAAGAACAUACGCUAAGGAAUAUCCCCUUGAAUGUCCCUUGUUACCUCAUCCAUCACCAAGGAAAAUAGAUAAGGGCUCAAAGCAGACCUUUGAUGCAGUCCUAUUCUAAUCGGAAAGUCAUCUGUGUCGCCAUCACUUGUUUGGACUCUAGUUACAACAUUGUUGUACAUGUACUUAAUAAGUCCAACGUACUUCGUUGGGACUUUAUGUUUGUCUAAAACCCACCACAUAACAUUUCUUUGUAUUUUGUCAUACGCCUUCUCCAAGUCAAUGAAAACCAUGAGUAGAUCCUUCUUCUUCUCCCUAUACCGCUUCAUAACUUGUCUUAUUAAGAAAAUAGUUUCCAUGGUUGACCUUCCAGGCAUGAAACAAAUUGGUUCAUAGAGACCUGUGUUAUCCUUCUCAAACAAUGCUCGAUAACUCUCUCCCAUAGCUUCAUAGUAUGGCUCAUCAACUUAAUUCCUCGGUAAUUAGUACAACUUUGAAUAUCUCCCUUAUUCUUGUAUAUUGGUACCAGUAUACUUCUCCUCCACUCUUCCGGCAUCUUGUUCGACUGAAAAAUAUGGUUGAACAACUUGGUUAGCCAUACUAUGGCUAUAUCCCCGAGGCAUCUCCAGACCUUAAUUGGGAUACCAUCCGGGCCCAUCGCCUUACCACUUUUCAUCCUUUUCAACGCCUCUCUGACCUCAGAUUCUUGGAUCUUCCAAACAAAGUGCCUGUGGUGUCAUCAAAAGAGUCAUCCAACUGAAAAGUUGUGUUCUCAUUCUCACCAUUGAACAAUUUGUCAAAAUACUCUUGCCAUCUAUAUUUGAUCUCAUCCUCCUUUACCAAGAUGUUCUCCAUUUCAUCCUUAAUGCACUUAACUUGGUUGAAGUCCCUCGUCUUUCUCUCACGAAACUUAGCCAUCCUAUAGAUGUCCUUCUCUCCUUCCUUCGUACCUAAUCGUUGGUAAAGAUCCUCAUACGCCCUACCCUUUGCCACACUUACAACUCACUUUGUGAUCUUCUUUGCCUCCUUGUACUUUUCUAUGUUGUCCACACUCUUGUCAUGGAACAAGCGACUAUAGCAUUCUUUCUUCUCCUUAAUAGUCUUUUGGACUUCCUCAUUUCACCACCAAAUAUCUUUAUCUACGCCUUUACCCCCCUUGGUCACUCCAAGCACCUCCGAGGCCACCUUCCGAAUGCAGUUUGCCAUCUUCUCCCACAUGUUGUUUGCGUCCUCUCCUUCCUUCCAAGGGCCCUCUUUGAUUACCCUUUCCUUGAAGACCUCUGAUGUCUCCUCUUUCAGUUUUCACCACUUUGUUCUUGCAGUUUUGGCUUGUUUAUCCCUGCGUGUGCGCAUCUGAAAAUGAAAGUCUGCCACCACAAGCUUAUGUUGAGAAACAACACAUUCCCCUUGUAUCACCUUGCAAUCCAAGCAUGCCCGUUUAUCCUCUCUUGUGAGGAUAAAGUCAAUCUGGCUAUAGUGUUGGCCACUACUAAAAGUCACUAAAUGGGACCGUCUCUUCCUAAAGAAAGUGUUCGCUAUCAUCAAGUCAAAAGCUACUGCAAAGUCCAAGACUUCCUCUCCCUCCUGAUUCCUACUACCAUACCCAAAACCUCCAUGAACCGCCUCGAAGCCUGCACUUAUUGUACCUACAUGCCCAUUAAGAUCUCCUCCUAUGAAAAGCUUCACGCUAGAAGGUACAGUUCUAACCAGGCUAUCUAAAUCUUCCUAAAAGCCUCUUAGCACUCUCAUCGUGGCCUACUUGGGGGGCAUACACACUCAUUAUGUUCAGGACCAUACCACCAACGACAAGCCUAACUAGGAUAAUCCUAUCCCCUUGCCUUCUCACGUCCACCACUCCAUCCUUGAGACUCUUGUCAAUCAAAACUCCCGCUCCAUUUCUAUUUGCAGUUGUCCCUAUGUACCAAAGCUUGAAACCGGUAUUGUCCACCUCCUUCACCUUCUAGCCCUUCCAUUUAGUCUCUUGAACGCAUAAGAUAUUUACACGCCUCCUAGUCGCUAUGUCAACUAACUCUCUUAAGUUACCUGUAAGAGACCCUACAUUCCAACUACCUACACGAAUCCUAGUAGCUUCCUUGCCCUUCUCACCCGUUGAGAGAGAUGUAAAGACCCUUUCUCAUUUUUCACUACACCCGGGCGCCGAUGUAGCGUGCCACUAAGGAAAUGACGACCUGAUCCUUGCUCACUUGACACCAUGCCCAGAUCGCGACAUGGCACGUCACCAAGGGGGAGACGACCCGGCCCUUGCCCAUUUAACACCAUACUCGGGUUCCGAUAUGGCGCGUCGCUAAGAGGGUUACGCCCCAAUGGAUUUAUUUUGGGUUCCAUCUCCAUUAGAAUGGCUAGGUUUAACGUUUGCUCGCCAAGCCUAUCACAACCCUCCUCAGGGCUUGGGACCUGCUAUGUUGAGACAACAUAGGCGGAGUUAAAAAUUUGUAAAACAUCCAUGUUGUAAGAAAUCUCCUUUCUUCAAAUAUCUUCCCAGUAAUUUGCAUGAUUCAGAAAGAAGUUGGUAUUGUCCCUCUGCUGCAGAGCUUCUACAAAGCAUCUAAGAUAAAAUUUGAUGAUAAGGAGAGUGGUUUUAAGGCUAAAGCUCAGCAAGCAGUAGUUCGGCUGCAGGUGAGUGCUGUUUCUAGUCCUCAGCAUUGAGAAUCCACUGCUAUGACAUGUGACUUAUUUUCAUAUCCAAGCAAUACUUGAACUGUAGCAAGGGGAAGACAGAUACCGAGCUGCAUGAAAAAAAAUAUGUCAAAUCAGUCGCAAUGAAUUUGACUCAGUGUACAAACGUCUUGGUGUGGAGCUUGAAGAAAAGGUAGUUUUACUUUCUCUGAUACGCCAAAAAUUCUAUAAAUACCGAGGAAAACAUCCUAAAUAUUUCAUCUAUGACUUAUAGUUGGAAAGUAACUCUGUAUGAAUUGAAGUUGUGGUGAAGUUAGUAAUGUAAUUUUAGUAUAUCUGUUCAUAUAUGCAUUUCUAGGAACAUCUAACUUAUGCCAUAUUUGAGAAAAUGAUUCCCUGUAAACUAGUUAGCUUCAGAUUCUUAUCUGUGUUAAACUGCAAUUAGUUUCAGACACACUUCAUGUUGGUCCUUUUGUGCUGUUUACUAUCUAACUCUGAAGAAUUAGCCUGAAUUUUAUGUUUCGCUUAAUAACUGUGUCCUAGUUUACUAAUAAAUAACCGUUUGAAUAUUUUUUUGGGUGGUGAGUUCCAAGAAUUGUCAAUUGUACCCAUCUUCGAUUUGUUUGAAUUCAAUUUGCCUUACCAGCAAUGUACCAAUGUUUUCCUUGUUUCAUUAACCAAACUUAACCAAUAACUACACUUGUUCAUGUUCACAUUUUUCUUUUUCUUUUUUUUGUAAAGUCCUUCUGUGGACUGAUUGAAGUGUAAUUUUUCUCAGGGCGAGAGCUUUUACAAUCCUUACAUGUUUUGGAGGAAUUAACAAAUAAAGGCUUGAUUAUAGAAAAUGAGGGUGCUCAAGUAAUACCUCUUGAGGGCCAAAAAUCCGCAUUGGUUGUGGUCAAAAGUAAUGGAGGCUUCAACUAUGCCUCCACAGACUUAGCUGCUCUUUGGUCAGUUGUGAAAACAGAAAUUUCAAAGUUCUCCCAUUCCUGCAUCUUCUCUCUCAGAGGGCACAAAUUCUUGUUACAUGUUUCUAUGUGAUCUAAAUUCUUGCCCUAACUUUUUUGCAAACUCAGCCUGCUUUUUUUCCUCCACUCAUGAAGGUAUCGGCUUAAUGUGGAGAGGGCAGAAUGGAUAGUAUAUGUGACAGACGUAGGUCAGAAGGAACACUUCCAUAAGUUUUUCAGUGUGAGUACCAAGUCCCACUAGUAAAAUUAUCAGGUCUUGCACUCCUGUCAAGAGAAGAAGACCAUUUGAGAGAUUUCUUUCUGAUGACACUUUUGGUGAAACCUUAUUGUAGGCUGCUAGCAUGGCUGGCUGGCUCCCAGAUCAAAACGAAAAGAAGUACCCAAAAACGAGCCAUGUUGGCUUUGGCCUUGUUCUUGGGUUAGAUGGCAAGCGUUUCCAAACUCGUUGCUCUGAAGUAGUUCGACUGGUAGAUCUACUUGAUGAAGCUAAAUCUUGGUGCAAAGAACUUACUGAACGCCUUACAAAAAAUGGUACUUAAUAUUCUGCUUUUGAGUCGUCUUGAAUUUUUUUUUUGGAAAAUUAUCUUUCUCUGUCUUCACAUAACACGACGAUGGUUUUGCUCAGGUAAAAUUGCUGGCUGGACAGAUGAUGAGCUAGAUACAACUUCGGAGGCUAUAGGAUUAGGCGCUGUUAAGUAAGUCUGAAUUCUCUUUCUCUCACCUAUAUUAAGCUUAAACUGCAGGCAAUAUAUCUUUUCAUUGAUGUGAUUAUUUUGAACCUUUUGGAAAUUAAAUAAGAAAACAUUAUCUUUAUAUAUCGCAAACAGAAUUUCUAUUGUUGAUGAGACUUGUCCCCAGUAGCCUAUGUACAUCUUUAGGUGUAUUUGUGGACUUUAAAACUAACAAUCUCCUUUUAAUUCUUCAAUCUAUUUUAGUGAUGAGGCUUGAACCUACAUUGCAGUAAUGGAAAUGUCAAGUUGUGUUUUCAUCAGACUGGAAUGAAUGUGAUGUUCAUUAUUCUUUUAUCUCUUAUCUCUUGAAAUUCAGGUAUGCAGAUCUUAAAAACAACCGGCUAACAGACUACACAUUUAGUUACGAGAAGAUGCUAAGCGACAAGGUACAUUCAUGCAUUUUCAUAUCUUUUGACCUCAUAAAAAAACCACAACUUUUCGAUGAUGAUCACACCAUAUGAUUUGAUGAGCAGGGAAAUACCGCUGUCUACCUUCAGUACGCACAUGCUCCUAUCUGUUCCAUUAAGCCAACAAGGAUAUUGAAGAGUUGAAAACGGUGAGCCUUUCCUUGUACUUCGAACCAACAAAACGACAUGUCCUCGAUCACAACAUCAAGCGAUUGCUGAUAGCUGUUUCUCUCUCAUUUCGAGUUUCAGAAUGCGGCCAUUACCUUUGUCCAUGCUGAUGAGCGUGCCUUAGGAUUGCAUCUAAUCCGGUUCCAAGAGGUACAUGUUGGGAGUUAUUAAUCGAAUUUCGCUUCAUUAGCUGAAUCUGUCUAUGAGCUGUGAUUUAGAAUUUCUAUGAGCAGCAGCCCAAGACACCUACUUCUGAAGUAGUUCUAGGAACUAGGAAGCACAAAUCAUAAACGUGAUACCUUGUGUUGUUUAGGUUGUUGAGCAGGCCUGCACCGAUCUAUUUCCACAUUAUUUGUGCGACUACUUGUACUGCUUAUCUGAAGCAUUCUCAAAGUUCUACGCCAGUUGCCAGGUAGCAUUUUACUUCUAUCAGUUCUCUCGGAUCACCUCAUGUUUCUGAACCUUUUCAGUUCUGCACAAGAUCUUAAUACAACUGAUAGUUUCCCGUUGUGUCGAUUCUGCAAGUGGUCGGAUCACCUGAAGAAACGAGCCGUCUGUUGCUUUGCCACGCGACGGCCGUCGUCAUGCAGCAGUGUUUCAACCUGCUGGGCAUCACUCCAGUCUACAAGCUAUAAGUAACUGUCAAUUUACAUAACACAUUACUCUGUUGCCACUAUUGAUCUUGUAGCAUAUAUCCUCUGAACAAAGAGAAUUAGGAAGCUUAUGGGAAAAAAGAAUAAUGUAAAUCAUUCCCACAAAAAAAUAAAUUGUAAAGCUUUUUUUUGUUUAUGGGGAAAAAAGAUUAAUGUAAAUCAUCCCCACAAAAAAAAUUGUAAAGGUGGUUGUUUUUUCUUCUCCUUUGGUCCUUAUACGUGUAUGUGAUUUUGCAUGACGUGCACUUUUCUAGACAACGAUAGAAUUAUAGAAACAAUUCAGGCAGUUGUUAGUUGCAACAGAGAAGGAUAGGAAUGUCAAGGGUUAUAGGCAUAAGCCAGGGACUCUACACACACAUGGGGUUAUGCAGUAUACAGUUGAGAACUUCAGUAAAGGCUGCAGCCAUGUCCCAUGUGUAUAAAAAAGAACGACGCGUACAGGUGACAGAUAAAAACAGGAGCACACAGGUUUCCUCUUCUUUUACCCCACCGUUUAUAUAGGGGCAUCCAACUCAAGUGCCUCUGGUUGUCAAAUGUCUCAUCCUUUCCUCACAUUAGCUUCAUCAUAGGUAAAGUAGACAUAAGGUAAAACGAAGAUAGCAAUAUAGUUCUAAUCUUGUAAAUGAAGCCUCAGCCUUCUCCAUAAGUUUUGCUACUGCCUAGCCCUCUUGGAGCUGCAGCUCGGGCACUUGUAGUGUUUUAUGCUUUCCGCCUUGGCGGGGGUUAUCUUGACGCACUUGCCAUGGUACCACCUCUCGCAGAUGUCGCAACCAAUCCAAAACUCAUCUGCGCUGUAUAUCCCACCGCAGGUUCCACAUAGGGUUUCACCGUGAUCGCUGUCAUCUUCGCCGUAUGCUUCGUCUGUUGCUUUUUCGUUAUUUUCUAUCUGUGGGUCAUGUGUUUGCUGCGGAAUGAGAAUGAAUUGAAUGCAGAGGAAAAGAAUGGUAGCAGCAAUAAAAAAAAAUAUAUCGUUUACCUUUACUGAGGGCUUGGCCCUCCCACCAUUGUCCAUACUGGACCUCUCCUUAGAUUGUCUCGCACCAGAGACAACUUCAAAAACAGUUGGCAAUUCGUUAAUCAUACCAAAUAAACGCUUCCUAUUGGAUGACAGUGAAGACAGUUACAUAUCAGCAACAUAGGUCAUCUUAUGAAAAGAGAAAAUGAAACAAACUAAUGGGAAUGCACCAUAUCUAUCCUUUACAUAAAAAAUAAUUAUUCAAAAACUAUGUUUACAAUACUCAGAUCACGGUGAUAGUAUUACCAACAUAAAAAGAAGAGACACAGUAGAACUGGGAAAAAAAAGCAGACUAUUGCCAGUCCCAAUCCACAAAAGCAAGGCAUAGGAAGGCCUAAUCUGAGGUGCUACCUUUGGUGCAACAGGAACAAAAAAUUCCAUGCUAGUGUGGGUUCAAGUUGAUUUAAGAUGAUUGAUUGACAAGAAUAAAUAAUAAGAACUCUCCUAUAUGAGUAAUGCCUGAAAAAAAGAACUGCAGAUUGCAGAAAAAUACCAUGCACAUGUCUAUUAGUACACUCAUAAUUUCUUAUGGAAAUUAAUACAGAAACAAAAAGCGCCAACACUGUAAACAUAACUUGAGAACUUCAUAUCCAUAAAAUCAAGGAUACAGAAGUUAUAUAAGAUAACAGGUCAUGAAUGUCAGAUAUGUGCUCUUUAUGUUAUGUUUCCACAAACCUCUUGACCCAUGUUUACUUUUCAGUACAAUAAUUAACUGCACCCUAUGCUCUCCAUAGCACAGCAGCAUUGCAUAUAUUUUACCCUUCAGAUCAUGGAAAAUCGUAUUCUAUUUUAGUUUGUAUUGAUGAAAUAUAACUUUCAAUAAAUCACACUUUAAUUUGUUGGUUCUCUAAGCAAAAAAUAAAAAGAAAAUAAUAUGCACAAGAGGUGUUAUGGAACCAGGGGUUAUGAAACUGGGGCUAUUCACUGUUUUGAACUUCAAAUAUCUAAGAAAAUUCAAGUUCCUCUACAAGAUGUAGAGUUGCAGGUGUUUCAGAAUACGAGGGGGAUUUGCUUCCACGAAUUGGGUUGGGUGUAGAAAAGGGAGAUGUUGAAAAGAUAACUGAGAAUAUUGAAAAGAUAACUGAGAAUAUCAGCAUCAGUGCAAAUUCUGUAACUACAAUUGGCACUAAAAGUCCUGAUUCUCCAGAUCCAUAACAAGAGGCUCAGGCUCUCAGCAUGAAAUGCCUUCAAUUAACAAAAAGGCAGGAAUUUCCUUACAGUAGAUGGUAACCUUUAACUGUUUGGAGUAUCUAGGAGACCAAGACACCACUAAUUAACUGACCUCAUAAAAUGUUUCAAACAGCUCACACAAAAUAUCAAUGCACAAGUGAAAAACUAGUCAGAUUCCCAGCUUCAACCAAAUAUUACUUUUCCCUGGGCACAGGGCCUUUUGAAAGUUGGCAUGACAUAAACAUUGAAGCCAGCCUUCAACUAGCACAAGUCCACACUGGGAGUCUGGGGCCACUGUUUACAAAAAUAGAGCAUAGAAACACAGAUGCAUGUCAAGAUGUUGAUCCGAAAAAGUAACAAGACUUCAGUAUAAGCAUGUGGCAACCAGAAUUCAAGACUCAGUCACAGCUCACUAUCAUCACAGAAAGCCAUGAAAGUCUGCUUUCUCCAACAACUCACGGUAAACAACCAAACUUAUCAUGAGUCUGCUUUGUUAUGUACCUGUGUAAGUCUCUGUAGUUGUGUUUCUUUAGAAAGCAAGCACCCCCAACUACCCAAGACUUUGAAAUUUGGACCAAACUUAAACUAUCACAGAAUACAUUAACAGCAGUGCGCUUUGCGUCAGAACUACUGCUAAGAGAGUCAAUUAACUUUACCAUCUCCACUUCAGUGCACAAGUUGAAAAUCCUCUUGAGGAAGGAAACAUCUACCAAAACUAUGGAUCCUAGCAACACCGUAGGCAACCAAGAAUGGCAUCUCCUUGUGAUCAAAACCAUCUCGCUAUGAGAUCAACAAACUGGCAACAUGCUCCAAAAUCCCAGCUCGUCCAUUGUGAAAUUGCGCAUGGAACAGUUGUCCGAAGCCUUAUAAAAAAUCGGACGGACACGUGGCAUUAUUUGCUCCACAAGUUUCCACCGCAAUUUCUGUUCUUUCCUGCUCCACACCGCACACGCCUCAUCUCUCUCCGAGCUCUCCCUCUCCCUCACGGCUGUGACAAGGAUCCGCAUCAUGGCCGCUGGCCGCUGAUCAGCUCCUCUCGCGCUGGCCACCGCUCUGCUUCCUGCUCAUGCUCCCUCACCGCCGCAAGUCCCUACCCCGUCGCCAGCGGCCGGCACAGCCACACCUCCUUGCUCCCUUCAAUUUUGCCGUUUGGGACUGGGAGGACCACACCAUUGACCUCCCCGGAAGCACAUGCCCCUCGUCUUCAGCUCCGUCGCCUGCAAGCGCCACUCCAUGUUUGUUGCUGCUGUCCAAGUGAGCACAGGGAGAACCACAUCUUCCGGUGAUGUUGCAGAAUUUGGGAUUUUUUGGAUGUUGCAAUUGAAGAUUCUAAGUGUUGCAUUAAGUGAGUUUUGAUGUUGCAAUCUCUUUUUGAUGUUGCAGUCUCUUUUUGGUGUUGCAGCCUUUGUGUUUGGAUGUUCCAUUAGUUUUUGACGUUUUUAAAUGUUGCGCCAAGUGAAUUUAGAUGCUGGGAUUACCUUUUUUGCAAUGUCACAGUCAGCGAAUUUGGACAUUGUUAUUAGCAUUUCCAUGUUGCAGCAAGCGAUUUUACAUGUUGCAAUUACAUUAUUUUCGUGUUGUGGUCUUUGUAGGGGUUUUUUUUUGGCAACAAUAUGUUGGGGACGAGAGACAUAUGCUUGAUCUUCAGUAGUGGGAACUCGAUUCUUUGGAGGAGACACUCACAUGUUUCAGCUGAUUUUGCUCCUAAGCAUGUUUUGGUGGGAGUUAUGGAGGAAACGACACACCUUGAACUCAUGUGGCAGAUGACCAUGGCGAUGAAAAAGCUGGAGGAAAAGGUCAUGUUGCAUGCGACGUGAAUGUUGUGGUGGGAAGUUUUAUUUCUAUCCAACAGUCAAUACAGUUCCAAUCAUACGGACACCCCACCGUCCAACACCAGCGCCCGGAUCGGACGUCCAGGCGCUAGCAGCUCCCUUUUUUUAAUAUAUAAAAGAGGGGAAACAGCCUAGGCUUCUGAAAUUUCCAUCACCGGAUCACGCAAGCACAAGCAUCAAAUCCCGACAGAAACACCAACAAGUAAGACAGUGGGGAUUGCUUGGGGGGGGGGGGGGGCGAGUUCACUGACCGUGGGUGAGGGCGCGGAGGAUGGCGGAGCGGCGGGCGCGGUAGUCCUUGAAGAUGUCCUCGGCAGAGCGGGGAGGGUAGACGACGUGGCCGCGGCCGGCGGCGGCGUCCCCCAUGGAGGGUGGCGGCGAGGCUUCCUCUCGUGAUCUCCGGCGAGGUGGUGGGUGAGGUGGCGGUGGCGGUUCGCGGAAGAAGUCGAGUCACUGGUGCGGGGGCGAAGGUGAGGCGAGACGGUCAGAUGGGAUGGGCCGAUGGGCGCAUGGGGGCCAGAGCCGAGCCGAUCUGGAGCGCCGGACACGCGAGGAAAGGUUGAUAAAGAAAUGGAUUUUAAUCCAGAAAAUACUAGAUUUUAUGUCUAGGAAUGGAUUUAUAUAUCUAAAAAAUGCGUGCCUCGAAAUUUAUGAAAUUCACUUUGAAUAAAUUUAUGCAACUGUAAAGAGAUACCUUGAAAGUUUGAACUCGAUUUGUAGCACAAGUUCUACUAGUCCUACUGUCCUAGAGAUGAACAUUUUCAGCCAAAUACAAAUCACGCAAAAGAAGGAAAAAAAAAAAGAGCAUACUAUGACAAUCAUGCAACGCUGGCUGCACGAAAUGCACGAAUGCAGUUGGCUAAAGGAUGCUCCGAGUCCGAGUAAUUCACAGAUUCUUACCAGAUAGGAUCAUAGAAGUGAUAAAGUAUAUAUUGAUUGUAUCAUUUGUUCAUUUACAACAAAUACAUGCUCGCAAAAAAAAAUAACAAUACACGAUGUAAACAGUUGCCAAUCAAUUUAUAAUGACACAAGUGAGAAACAAAUCGGUGACAUCUUUCACUACCCUCCAAGUUCAAUCCAUCAGAACUGAACUGCCAUUUAUUGAUCCACAUCUCGAUAAUGAUUACUUGGUGAAAAAUAACUAUGAUCUUUUUUCUACAACAUUGCACCCCUCGGAUGCCUUCGACUGGUCCUCUGCUCUUCCAUUUCAUUCAUCCAGUCAGAAAGCCGGAAUAUACCCUUCCACAAUAGGUACAAUCCAGCAGCGAUAAUCAUCGAUAGAAAAAUAAUCAGCAGCACUCUCAGCACGUAGGUCUUGACUUCCUGCAACAUAUAAAUUUGUCAUAAGGAGCACUUUUUUCCUCAAUGAAAGCAGCACAUUUGUAUUGUAUAGUACACACCUGGAAUUUUGAUACUUCAACCUCUUGUCCACGAUCACGCCGCUUCCUGCGUUUGGGCACAUUUGCAACUUCCAUAGCGGGAAUCUAUAAGGAAAACACAGGAAAUGAGCGAAAAAGCACCAAUAGCUACAAAUUUGAUUGCUUGAUGGCAAAAACAUUGCAAAAAAUGACAGAAUUAAGAUAUAAAAGGUUCUGUAUUUAAAGGUGUAGCAUUUAGUACCUUGUUCUCCUGGGUUUUCCGGAGAUGCAACUCGGAAUCUUGCACCUUCACCUUCUUCUUGCAGUCUUCACCACAGGCAAGUAAGCCAGCUCCAAACUGACUUUUGGGCACUUCUUUUGGAUCACGACCAGAAUUGCGGUAUUCCUUAAGGACAUCUUGGCAUAUCCACUCUUGCUUCAGCGUGUUGCAUGCACAACGGACAUUGACCUUGAUAGAUAGAAUGAGAUACCAUAGAGUGAGUAUGAUAAGUAUGAUUAAACAAAUAUAAUUUAACCGCAGGUUCAAACUGUAAACAAACUUUGUGCUAAAUAGAACUUCUCACUGGACUACAGUUCCAGCAGAUAAGCAUUGUAGCAUCACAGAUUAAGCACUUUGUACCAAUUGACAUUACUGCUAGUCGUUCCACACUAAACACUCUGAAAGUCUGAAUAUGUAUGUUGAGAGACUCAAACCAUACCUUUUUCAUGCACUGAUCAACCGAUGGGCAUGUACCAGGGUGACAUACUUCUGAGCACAGAUGGGAACAAUUUGGUAGUUUCCUGUUCAAAAAAUAUGUUCAAAUACUUGAUACAAUAUAAACAAAGUUAUGGAAAUUUGUGUUCAAGAUUAGUAACAACAGAGUAGUUCACCAACUUCAAAACAGAAAUAGUAAGGAGCCAAGAAGAGAUUUAGCGACUGACCUAUGACAUGGGCCGCCACACGACCUCACUUUAACCUGUUCUUUAGCUUUUAAGUUGUUAAAAUACACACACUCGAAAGCAUGUACCAUAGCACCACAAUGGCAUGGUUUUUUAACAAGGACUUUGCAAGGUGGACAAUCGCUCGGAUGGCAUCGCAAAGGGCAACGAUGUGAACAAGAAGGCUCCCUAACCUGAAACAAAACAUUAGAGUCAAUAUCCUGCACCAAGCUUAAAAGGCAUACGGAAAUGCAGUAGCUUCUUCACAUUAAGCUUUGUAAAACAAACUAAAGUAAUGUUGUUUUACAUGAAAGAGAGUAACAAACCCUUUGACAAGGAAGGUUGCAUUGUUCACAAGGCUCAGCAAGUGUGCUCUCUUUACUGACAGAUGGUAGAGGAUCUCCUUCAGGUUGAUUCAAUGGGACCUCUAACACAUGGCAAGAUUUCGUACAAUAAUGGUUGCCACAAAGAAGAGGAUUCCCACAUAAAUUUUGACAGGGAAACGGCCUCCAUUUGGAACAAGGCAUCUGCAAGAAACAGAAAUGAAGUGUGUGUUUUCUGUAUUCUGGUUUGCAAGCAGUCAUCUGUGUGCACCACACAACAGAGGAAAAGGGGGGGCAGUAAUAAAUCAACCAAAAGACUACAGUAUUAACAAAAACUUACAGCGCGUUCUUGGCCAAGAUGUUGCCCAAAGCAUGGCACUACAACCACCUCUUUGCAUGGUGGGCACAGUGUUCCAGGUGUACAUUCUAUGUGCUUUUCCAUUUUCUUUUUUGUUGGUUUUAGUGUGAACUCGGGGUUUGGAGGAGAAAUAGGGCCAUGACACCUGUGUAGUAUGUGAAAAUUGUCAAGGCAUCAGAGGAAGUGAAAGUACGAGCACCAUUCAAUGGCACAUCCAUUGUAGGUGAAAGUGAAACACAUACCUUUCUUUACAUAUGUGGCCACAGGAAAGUUCUUCACCACAGGUCAGCUUGCAAGGUGGGCAGGCUCCAUAGUGGCAUUUGUGGGGCUAAGGGAAGGAAUCAAAUAUCACAUCAAUUCUGAGAACCCAUUUGUAACAGCAAAAGCACCCAAACCUACUAUUACAAUUAUAAAUUGCAUACAAAGACAGUGCCAAACAACUGAAAUAAAGAUAUCUAGACUUUAUCACAUGAAACCAAUGUGUAUAUAUUAUGGUUAUACCCGUAGAAGAAGACAGAAGAUUACCCGACAUUCAAGCUUGUGCCUGCAAAGGCGAGGUAUGUUGCAUUUCUUUGAGCAUUUCUGUGGUUUCUGAUUCUUUUCAGUCCCACAAGGAACCUGCAAUAGAAUUUGCUUAUUAGUCUCGGUAAUAAAACUUAGCAACAAUGGUACAACUACUUAACACGAUAUACAGAAGUUGAAACAGGAGACACUUCUGAAGUUUUAUUCAUUUCCUUUUUAAUGAGUAAUUUGUGUGCGAUGGGCCUAUAAAAAAUUUUUAGCAAACAACCUUAUCCAAUGAAGCAGACAGCAGAAACAUAAGUUAUUCAAAGGAAAUGAAUGACAGAACUGAGAGUCUACCGAGUUCAACCUCAAAGCAUGUUUUCCCACAGGCGCAUGAAAUGGUCUUCAUCAGAGGACAAGGUGAACAAGCACCUCUGCCAAACAACAAGCUAGACGUUACUAUCUGUCAGCACAUAUAUGGCAGAUUCGACAUUUUGGCAAAGUGUGUUGUGCAAGUACAUGGCUCAAAAUGUAAAUUGAUUUGGGGUUCAGAAAGUACCUGUGGCAUGGUGAAAGGCAUUUAUGGUUCCCACAUCUGAGCUUCCUAUCACAAGUCUACAAAAAGAUAUAUCUUUCUUUUAGUGCAUGAUAGAUCUAAUACCAUAGCAAAAGGGAGAAAAAAAAGAUGCACCUCAGAGCAGGGUGGGCAAUCGCCAGCACAGCAACGUCGUUUACAAGCAUGGCGGCCACAGUUUCGCAAACGUUGGCAUUUCCUUUCACAUGUCAAUUCUUGGUAGCAUGGCACCUGAUCAGUGCAUCACAUGAACAAGAGAGCUUAAGAACUUGCAUCCGAGUACUUCACUAAUUAAUAGCAUAGAAGUAUCACGAGCUAUAAAAUUCAAUAUUAGAGGAAUUGCUUGUUGCACAACAUACUUGACCAAUUUGAGGACAGUGGAAAAUAAGAAGUCACUACUUAACUAACUGUUACUCUGUUAGGUCAUUUGCAUAUAAAAGUGUAAAAAAUAAAACUCUGCCAUCCAAACGAAUUUAAAGCACAGAGGCAUCCAAACAUCCAAUUGUAUUAUGAGAACUGAUGCUAGUAAUGUCUCUAAGCACUAUCACUUGAUUUUUGUAUUAUGAGAACUGAUGCUAGUAAUGUCUCUAAAUUGAGUUUUGCAUUUUUUAUGGUUUGAUCCUUCACAAACAUGCUGUAUAAGAUCAAGAUACAUACCUCCUUCUUCAGACCCCCACAACGGCAGGACUUUGUGAUCACAAGCCGACAAGUCUCAUCACAAGGACCACGAUGGCAGCGCUCAGGGCACCUGUGUCGUCCGCAACCAAGCACCUUCUCGCAAGUAGACCCACAUGUGGCAGCCUCUGCAUCACACUCCAACUUCGGAUAAUCUUUCUUCCCACACGGGCAAGUGCGCCGACCUCGGAGUGGGCAUUCCCCACACUUACCCCCAUGGCACCCCCUCUCACACUUAUGCUUCCUGCAAUCUAACAUCCCACCACACUCCCUCUUGCACUGGAAAACCCUUUCAGAGCACAAUUUCUCCUCCAUUGUCUCUCCACACUCACAUUUGUGUUUCCCCCGCACUGCACACGGCGGGCAGGGCCCAUCAUGGCAAUUCACCGGACACCGGUGGAGUCCACAGCUAAGACGUUUGUUACAUUUCCCUGCACAAGAGUAACGCUGAUGUGCGCAGCGUCGAGGCUCCCAGUGUGCCCCACAAAAGCACGGCGCAUUUGGCACAACAGCCGGGCAUGGUGGACACGGCCCUGGGUGGCACAGCAGUAGGCAGGUGUGUUCACAGCCGGAGUCGAGAUUUGCAUUGAGGCGGCGACCGCAAACAUCGCCGCAGGAGUGGGGGAGGAUCCAGGGGUCCGGAGCCGGGUCUGCAGUCUUGGAGCAGAAGCAGAGGUAGGAGGUGGGGGUCUGGGACUUGGGGUAGGCGAAGCGGCACUUGGGGCAGCCCCAGGUUGGGCACGGCACGGCAGCGCCGGAGGCUGACUGGUGGGCCCAUGACUGGAUGCAGGGGAGGUGGAGGAUGGCAAAGCAGGAGGAGGAGCAUGACCAGACUGGAUCGGAGGGGCGGAUGGGGUCGAAGCAGAUCAGGCACGGCGGCGAUCGGCGGCGCGCGGCGGAGGAGAGGAAAAUGCCGACCUUCGAGAGGUCGGCCCCCUCGCCGGCGACCGAGAGGUAGGCGGAGACGACGGAGGCGGUCGCCGAGUCGGAGGCCGUGAGAUCAGCCUCAUCCCCCGAGGAGGACGAGUAGGAGGAGGGAUCGGAGUCAGAGACCGCGGUAGGGUUCGCCGCCGGUGGCGCGGGUGCCGGCGACGGCGAGGGUGCUGGUGGGCGUGGGCGAGCAGUGGCUGCGGCGGCGGUGGAGGUGAGGUUCGGUUUGCGGGAAGAUGAUCCGGCCGCGGCGGCGGUGGGGACGCGGUUUGUCUUGCGGGAAGAGGAUCCGGCCGCGGCGGCAGCGUAGGAGGACGGCAUGGCCGGCGGCGUGGUCGUCGCCGGAGACGGUGGUGGCGGCGAGCGCGAGAUAUGUUUUGUUUUUUUUUUUUUGAGGGGGACGAGCGCGAGAUAUGUGAGCAGUGGCCUUUUUGCAGGUCGAUCCAGUGAUCCACGAUAUUUUCCUUCUCUUUUUUAUAAAUUGGGCCGGAUGUUUUGUGCUUUCUUCAUAUACUUGGGCUUUGGGUUCAUCUGGCUAUGCCCCCCAAAAAAAACAGCAGGUCAACAGCCCACAGAAGUAGUCCUGGGCCGAGGUUUUGCAAUUUGUUGUUUUGUUCCGUUCUGGGCUUAGUUGAAUUCUUAUCCAUUUCCCUAUACACAAUUUGGUUUUCAGUUCUUCCCUUCUUGGCGAAUGCUCGCAAUUUGCUUUUUUUCAAAAAAAAUCUCUGGUAAUUUACAUGAUUUUAGUCCGAAAGUACGUUUCCAACUAAGCACAAACCGGAAUAUGUAGUCGUAGUGGAAACUGGAAACUAAUACUUUUGAGCUUUAACCAACUGCACAAACAGCAAGAGUGGUCUUUGACUCUUUGAUCAAUUCAGCCGUCACUUUUAUGGCAUGAUAGGAGACUAAGGAAAGAAUUAGAGUUUUAAGCAUUGUUUGAGACGAGAUUUUUGUUUGGGUAAUUCGGGCAUUACUGCAGUGAAAAAUCUUAUACGGAGUACUUGGAUCUUUAGUCCGGACUAAAAUUCAUAUCACAUCGAAUAUUGGAAGACUAAUUAGAGGAUUAAACAGGAGCUAAUUAUAAAGCUAAUUACAAUGAGCUAAUUAUAAAACUAAUUACACAGACGGAGGCUAAUUCGCAAGACGAAUUUAUUAAACCUAAUUAAUCCAUCAUUAGCACAUGUUUAUUACAGCAUCAUAUUAUCAAAUAAUGGACUAAUUAGACUUAGACCCCGUUUGGAUCAUUGGAAUUGAAUUCCAUCCUAAUAAUCAUAAUUUAGACACAAAUUAAUUAAGCUAAUAUAAUUAUAUGUGGAAUAUAGUUGUAUAUUAUAGUUGGUGAUAUGGGAGAGAUACUUGUAUACUGCACUUCUACUAUAGAGAAGCGAGUCUAAGAGCGUGCUAUAAGAAUUGAAUUCCAUCUAAUAACCAUAAUCUAUAUAAUCAAUUUCCAUCUCCCACCCCAUGAAUUUAAGAUAGGCUUAUAUCUAAACUUUGGAAAGUUGUGGAAUGACACAUUCCAACAUAAAUUAGCCUACUCCAUUAAAUAGAUUCCAAUUCCUUGAACCCAAACGGGGCCUUAACAAAUUUGUCUCGCCAAUUAACACCCUGCAAUUAACUUUAUAAUUAAUCUAUGUUUAAUACUCCUAAUAUCUGAAUAUCCUAUGUGAGAAAUUUUAGGAGGUUCUGGAACCAAUCACCCCUAAUAUUCCCCUACUCCGGCGACUCUGCUCAAACAAACACCAGUUCUACUACCGUACUACGUACUUCGUAGGUCAUAUACUCCUAAACAAUACGAACACUGACAGCUCAGUACUGGAGAGACAGCGACAUGGUACAGGCGCACACCACACACGCCAACAGAAAACAAAAGGUCAGAGCCUUAUCGCGACAGCUCGUGCUGACCAAAGCAGCGGCGGCGGCCGCUUUGGCGGGGGGAGGAGGUGCAAGCGAGCGCCAGGCCAGCUGCCACGCGCCGUUACGGCUGCUGCGGCGCCGGCGCGGCGGCGUUGCCGGCGUGCCCGUCCUUGCGGCAGCCGAAGUCGUGCACGGCGAGGUGGAUCUCGGCGGCGGCGAGGAGGAAGUGAACGGCUUGCGCGGGGCGGAGCAGCGCCACCACCCCGCGCAUCGUCUCCAGCCGCAGCGCGUCCGCCAUCUCCAGCACGCGCUUCAUCCCGUCCGCCUUCGUCUUCAUCUCCCGCUCCAUCGCAUCCGCGUCCACCCCGCCGCCGCCGCCGGCGAGCUCCAAAAUCUUCGCCGUCGCCAGCGCCUCCUGCACGCCCCUCUCAUCAGCUCACUGAAGAUCUUUUUUUCCGUAAAAAAAUCACCGAAGAAUCGAUUUAUUUGACUCACACCUGUGCGCUCGCGGCGGCGUCCUCGAUCUCGCGCUCUCUCUUGAUGGUGCGGCGUUGCAGCUGGUCGGCGUCCUGGAGCUGCCCGGCGCUGAGGUCGCCGAGGUCGGCCUUGAGGCUGCCGCCGUUGAGGAAGGCGGGGAGCUGGUGCUCGAGCUGCAUACCCGACUUGGUGUACAGCAGGUGGAGCGCGGCGGUGGGGCGCCAGCCGCCGCACCAGAGGAAGAGGUUCUCGGUGGUGGAGGUCCAGGACGGGGUGAACAUGCGGAGCAGGUCAACCGCCGCCGCCGCGGCCUUGGUGCGGUAGUAGUGCUCGUAGUGGCCCAGCACCCGGUCGGCGAGGCGGCGGAGGUCGGCCUCCCGGGUGGGCGGGUCCGCGGACGCCGCGGCGCGGAGCGCGGCGAGGUCGCGGGACUGCUCGGCGAUCCAGGACUCGAAGAACCUGGAGAAGGACUCGUUGGAAGGCGACAACGACGGGAUGCUGCCAUUGCGGCCGCCGUGAGCUUGUGGCGCCGGUGGCGGUGGGGUGGUGGUGGACAUGGCGGUCGUUGUGGUUGUGGGUGUGGUGGGUGUCAAUGUCACGGUGGCUUCGGAGGUAACGAUGGGAGGGGCCCAUUUAUAGAGGUGGCCCAUGUCGGUCAUUGCAUUGGGCCCCAGUGUUCUCCUUUGCCUUUUUUUUUCAAAAUUGAUAUAUGUUUACGGACGCUUUUAAUUCAAGUUAAUUUUUCUUACAAAAUAUACUGUGCUAGCAUAUGUAGCACGAGGUUCUAGGAGAAAUGUUUAUGUGGUCGGCAACGUUCCAUGUAAGCAUGUGGAGGUGGGACCCAGGCAAUCUUGAGCCGGGGCGUCCUAGCUUGGUGCAUCGCCCUUGGGCCGUGGCCUCUUGAUUAUCUAAUCCCGUUGUUCUUUUCUACGUAUGUGUACUGUGUACAAGCCCCGUUUUCCUGGUUAUUUUAUUUGUAAAUUUUUCAACGUAUGACUUUGGCAUCUAGUGACUUUGCCCCUCCUUCCAUGAUAAAACUUUGGUAACCAAUGUUCUUGCAUGAAGUUUCAAAAAUAGCUCGGCGAGACUGGUCUUGAAAACUAAAUCACCAGAGGUUAAAUAGUACAUCUCGGUAAUCAAGUCUGGUGUCAAGAACGACAAUUUCCUUUUCGAACAAGGAGGCUAAAACUAAGCAAAUGGAACAUUGUGUUUGCAGGAACAUUGUGUUUGAGUGCAAGUAACUAGUCAUGAAAAAAAUGGCCAUACCUACCAUGAAAAAAAAAUGGCUAAACUAACGGUAAUGCUUCCGUGAGAACGUCCGAUCUAGUUAAAAAAUAUCGGACACCAGUCAACGGGUUAGACUCUUUGUCUCUCCUGCAUCCUUAUCCUCUGCCCCUCCUCCUUCGACCACCUAUUCAGCCAUUCCCCUCCCUUCUCUCUUUCUCUCUCUCGCCUCCACACAUAAAAACUCUCUCUCUAGCAUGCGCACGAGCUCAAACCUGAGCUCUGGUGGUGUGGCCCCUCCGUCGCGGCGUCGCGCAUGGUCCUCCUUCGAGCGAGGUCGGUUGUAGCUCAGCCCUUCCCAGUAUGAAGCUGUCGAUAGCGCGGCAACUGUCCAUGUGUGAGGGUCCUAGAGCUCGUCCAUGGCAUCAAUGGCAUCUCCAUGAUUCCACAGUGGUGAUGGCCUGCCCCGACGAGGAUCUUUUCUAUGGCAUUGAGUUCCUCUAUGAUGAGCACGACCUUAUUGUGGGCAAACUACUACAUGGCAACUGGUGAGUGCAGAGGCGCGCGAUUUGGAGCCGUCGGUGCUCCGUUCCAGCAAGGAGGCCAUCACGUCUCGAUUCAUUGGUAGGCAUGUUGCGGGUAUUUAUUGAAAUUGUUUCAAAAACAUUUUUUUCAUGUUGCAGCCUUGCAGGUGUUUUUCACCUAAUCUUUUACAGAAAUGUGUAAUGUUGCAAUAGUUCGUUUGAUUUGUUGUGAGAUACCUUUGAAAAUGUUGCAAUCACUUGAUUUACUUGUACAUUUACUUUAGAUGUCUAUGUAUCUUUUUUUUAAUCAUCUCCCGAUUAUCUUUUUUUUUAGUUCGCACCGCUCUUUCUCUCUAAAUUGCAUCAAAGAAAAUAGAGAGAGAGCAGAUGGAUCCUAUCCCCUAUGAUAAAUUUCAUCUUUUUACGGCAAAUAAAAUGCCUUCUCGAUCAUGGUCCCCAGCGGCAACUCCCCCGAACCAUAUGUAAGCAGCCUCGUACGGCUCUUCCUAAGAAGGUCGAAGCCCCUCUCUACAUAAAGAAAGGGGUCCAUGUAGCUGCUGCGCCCGCCCACUGAGCAGCAGGUUCGAUCCUGGCCGGGGAUCCCGGUAUACUGUACUAAUAUGUGUAGGUCCCUAUAAUUUGAGUGAAAUUGUCAUGACGUAAAAGGCAUAACAUGAUCGCAGACAUUGUCUGCUUGCAGAUAACUUCACUAAAUUUAUAUAAAUAGUUCUCUCUCUGUUAGGAUCUUCCUUUGGGACCAAUGGUAUUGGACAUACAAUCAGGUACACUGCAUGACAUCGCAACAAUAAAAAUAGGAACUCUGAGUGCACAUUUCAGAAAACAAAAUCAAGAGUAAACACAUACAAGGUCUAUAUAAACAGACAGCACAAUCAAAAAAUUCUAUGAGCACAGGCAGAUUUAGCUGUUCCCUUUUCCCAAUGGAUAUUAUUUUAAGCACGAAAAGAAGAAAAGAAAAAAAAGGUGCGAAGUGUUGCAACAACUAUUUUCAUAUGUUUCAAUAACUGCUUUUAGAUGUUUCGGUCAGUAUUUGUAUACUCCCUCCAUAUAGGAAAAGGGAGUUGUUUUGGACAGCGACACGGUCUUCAAAGCAUUACUUUGACUCCUUGUUUUUAUAAAAAUAUUUAUCCAAAAGUGAUAUAUGUAUAUAUUUUAUGAAAGUAUUUUUCAAGACAAAUCUAUUUAUAUGUCUUUCACAUUUUCAAACUCAACAACUUAAAAAUUAUUCAUGAUUUAUAUUUUCAAUGUUUGAUCCAAACCUUGUCCAAAACAACUUUCUUUUCCUAUACAGAGGGAGUACGUUGUUGUAGUUUCUUUUCAGUUUGUUGUAGAGGUUGCAGGAUGUUGCAAAAAAUUUCAUUUGUUGUUCUCCCAUCAAAUCGUUGCCCACGUUGGUUGGGGCAGACGUAGUCUGUAAGAUAUGAAUGUUACGCGGUCUGUCGAUCGAUCCCUCGUCACGUGGGGCAGUGGGGGUUCUAAACUCAACUGGAUACGGGGUCCACUUGUGCACCUUCCCACUAGCGAAAAUCCGAAAUAAAGCCAUUUUUUAUUAGAAAAGAUUAUAAAGCGAUAAAAAUCGUCAACUUGGGAGCGAUCGGAUAGCUCGGAUUCCAGGGAUGGAAAAAGGUGUAAAAUAUUUUUCUCGCCGGCACGGCACGCGCUGUUCCCCGGCACAGAGGCAAGCAAUGCAGGUGCCGUGCAGAGCAGAUGGAGUUGUUGGAGGGAGGAAGAUCCACUUGCGGCCGCAGGUGAGGUGAGCUGCACUUGCGAGCUGCUCCGUUCCUGUCUUGGGAGCGAAGAAAGAAAAAUAGGAGAGGAUCAGAUGAAUCAGCAGCCGCAAGUCUGCCUGCAUGGGCCGAUGCCGCGGCAGGUUCCGGCCCCCGGUUUUGGCUUUCCACCUUCGGGGCUGGUGUGUGGUGUGUGGGUGGGUUCGCGAAGCAGCUGCAGGCUGCAGGCUGCAGCCCGGCCUGCGGCCACACCACCACAGCCGCGUUCGCAGGGAGGAGCGGUCAGCACCACCUCACGUGUAUUUCCUCUGCCGGAUAUGGAUGGAUUGCGGCGUUCCCCACUUGCUACUGACAUGGAAACAAGGGCCCCGGUUUCUUCUUCUUCUUCUUCUUUCUUGUUUCGCUCCAGAACACAGCGCCUUGGCGUUUUGUUCGCCGGUGGAGCCGGUCCAGUUUUGGUCGGACCGCGGCGGCUCUGUCGUCGCCGACUCGACGUACUGUGAUCUCCCUUCUUAUCUUCCUGUCCCAGGCCAGGCCAACUCUUAGCUCUACGGGGUUGGCAGCUUCUACCGUUCCACGGAUCGCAGGUGCGUCCUCUCGUCUUCCUCGCUUCCAGUUCCAGAUAGUGACGAUCGCUGGUGCAGCAGUCAUGGCCAACGAGUUCCCAUAUGGUCAGGUCAGCCAUCUUCCAUGCUUAAUAAUCAACUAACUGGUAAUAUGCCGCAAACUCCCACUCUUAUCUUUGUCUUGGUGCCCUUCAAUCCAACCGCGAGAUUUUUUUUUUCGUUGCAGAAUUAAAAGCAACAGCGGAAGACUUGACAUAGUUUUGAACGGCGGAAUUACGCGCGGAAUGGAUACAAUUACCCCAGACCAUACUAUUGGACUAAUGUUGUGCACAUUCGUCAGACCGAUGCUUUGGAGUAGCAAAGAUAGUAUGGUCGGAAAACUGAGUGUUUACAGAGGUGUUGAUGCAAAUUUGCCGUUUUCAGUAUCAAAAGGAUGGCAGGGAUUGAUAAGAUAAGAUAAGAUUAGGCGUAAGAGGAUAGAAAAUGAAUUUCUACUCGGUGUAACGUGCACAGCAUGCCAUGUAAAUGAUAUGUGCACAUAUGGAUAGGUAUAGAUCCGCAACGAACAAUUUAAAAAGCUUCUGGACCUAGUAAUAUAUUUUUCAUGCUGACAAACCUAAGUGGCGUACCCUCGCAAGUUUAGAGGCUGCUUGUGUAUUUUACUCUUUAGCAGACAUUUUUUUUUAUUAUAUAACUUGCGCCUAAACAGCUGCAUCUCAUGCCCCCAAAUUCCACCAAAAAUGGAACUGUCAACCGCCUGAUCUGCAGGUGUUGUAGAACGAAGGAGCAGAUGCGGCUGUUAAGAUGGAUACAGAGCGUGUAGGCCAAGGCAUGAGGGGUGAACAAAUUUUACUCUUCCUAAAUUUGAAUUGUGCUACGUAUUUGAUAUUUAUUAUCUCCGUCCUAAAUUAGAAAUCGUUUUAGUUUUUUUAGUGUAUAGAUAUUUGUAUGCACUUAGAAAAAGCCAAAACGACUUAUAAUUUGAAAUGAAGGGAGUACAACAUGUUGGAAAUAUGCGCCUAAAAUACAAUCCAGAUUUUAUAUGGAGGAAAAAUACAUAGAUAAAAAUGAUGCAAGCAUAUAACACAUGUAAAUAGGCAACAUACUGACUAGAACAGGAUUGCGCAGGGAAAUUACUUAAUGAUUUUGCGCAGAAUAUAGUCGAUCGUGUUGAAGUAGAUGUCACAGAAUCACCAAGCGGUCGCGUGUAGACGUUGCCCAUAAACCUGAUUGCCACCCCAUGCAGGAGUCUCGCGGCAGUGGUUUCGGAGAUCACGCUUUCCUUCAAGUCUGGUACAUGCUGAACUCAAAGGUUGACGAGGCGCAGCAGCAAGAAGUUUAGCAUAGCGAAAAUGGAGUGCUCGAGUUGGGAGGCGAGCAUGUGACAGCGUGCCUCUCAACCAGGAUGUCUCCUAGUGUUAUAGGCUCUCAUAGCGCAUCAAUUCCCCUCAUCAAGCAAUAGAAACUGCCCAUUUGAAUGACAGAAAUUGCUACAAUCAAAUAGCGCACCUUAUUACUGUUUAAAAUGGCAGUUUCAAUCACAUUGAAGCGUCAUUAGGCUCAGCAUAUAAAAAAUAGAACCUGCACAAAUAAUAGCCUCCAUACACGUACGUGUUGUGCUCGUCGCAAGUCACAAGUCAAGCGAAAAUGCGCGCGAGCUGCAUGCGUGUAGCAACAGUCUCCUUCUCUCUCAUUUGCACCUAUUUUGCAUAGAGAGGAGACUCCCAUAUUUAAGCAAGACAACCUUUUCUUAAAUUAACAAUAUAGGACUAAAGGUUGUGCAUACUUUGAAAUUUUUCAGAUUGGACCAGACACAAGCCUAAAUCCACCACAACGUAGGUGCGCAUGAUCUCUACAGAAAGAUGCAAGUGAACCCUCCUCGUGUCAUCCUAACGCCACAUUUCGAGCGCCGAUGCUCGUCAACUGUCCCAAGCCACAAGCCCUCACAGACGGCAUGCCAAAAAUAACCAGUCCGCAAAGGAUUCAAAUCGAAGGUGCAGAUAGCCUUGAAGAGGUAGCAAAAUCUGCCUGUGGUUGUCUGGCUCAAAGUCAGGAACAGCAAUCGCUUACCCAAGAACCAAGAUUGUCCUGCAUGCAGACCUGCACUGAGAGUUUACCACAACAUUUUGGGAUACUGGACCAUGCUGCAACAACCGGUGGCGAUGACAGGGAUAUGUUUCCAGAUGAGUCGACGUACAACUGAAGGGGUGGGCAAUCGAUUUCUAGUCCAUGUUGCCGUAAUGCAACUGCAAGACUUCGAGCAUGGAAAGCUCAUUGCGACCUUCUUGAUUGAUUGAUUUGGAUUUGACAAAUUUUAACUGAACGUCUUGUUUCUUAGUUCUUACACUUCCACAGGUUGUAAAGCUAGUUUUUCUUUGUUUCUUGUUUUGAGAAAGAGGUUGUAGAAUUAGUUAUUGUUGUACCAUGUAAUGUUGGUGCAUAUUUUCCUGGAUCUCGUGGAAAAUUGUUUCUCUCUUUGCAUUUUCAUCGUGUCAAUUUUUGCCAACGAAUGUGCUUCAACAUUGCUCUAGUGAUUAUUCAUGGAACCGGGCAGGUGAACUUUAUCUUCCUGAGAGCAGUCUGAUAAACUAGUGUUUUCACGUUUCUGAAUAAAACCCUGAUAAGAUAAUUAAAUACAACGGGGUACUGAAAUAUACACAACUCAUAUUUGUUAUUUAGUAGAAUUACAUAAAAAUGGAACGACAACAUUACACGACAAUACUCCUAGCAAUUGCAAUGGCAAGGAAGAAACAAUUCAUCCAAAAAAUGGCCAAAGUAAAAGCGAAACGAAAAGACCGACAAGACCUGCAAACAAAAAAAAAGUAUACAAAAAGAUGGCAUGGAUGACGUCAUGGAGACCUCACACUCUCGUCGCCGUCAGCCCGUCACUACAGCCCCCACCACACGCCGGCCAGCGCAAGAAGAGCCGCCGCGAGGCCACCCCUCGUCACCCUCGCCGCGGCGAGCGACGCGGUCGCGUCCGGUGACGCCUCGGCCGCCUCGGGCGAGUCCGCAACCGAUGCCGGCGUCUUGCCCUUCUUCUUGGCCGGCGCGAGCGGCGCGGGCGCGGGGGCCACGGCCGGGCCGAAGAGCUUCGCCGGCAGCAGCACCUUGUUGACCUGGUAGACGACGAGGUUGUCGCCGGAGUAGAGGUCGUUGUCGACCGUGGCGUUGACGACCCCCGUGGAGAUGUUCGCCUGCUGGUUGCCAUCGGAGGUGAUGUUGAGCGGGUACUCCCCCGGCGAGGCGCUGCCGGCCUGCGUCCGGAGCGGGUUGCUGACGGUGUCGAACUGGGACUUGGGGAUGGCGGUGGAGACGACGUGGUACUGGACCAGCGCGUUCUUCUCCUGGUCGGAGAGGGAGUUGAGCGUGCCGGAGGGGAGGGAGGUGAAGGCGUUGUCCGUGGGCGCGAACACCGUCAGCCCGUUGCCGUUGUUCUGGAGCUGGUUGUCGAUCUGCGACGCCAUGCCCGUGGACUUGAGCAGCCGGAUGAAGGUGUUGAACUGCCCGCCCUUGGCAAGAAUGCUGGUGAUGUUGGUCGUCCCGGCCACCGGCGCCGGCGCCGCUGGGGUCGCCGGCGUCGGCGUGGCCGGUGCCGCUGGGGUCGCUGGCGUCGUGGGCGUGGGCGUCGCCGGCGCCGCCGUGGGGCCCUGCUGCGCCGACGCCGUGGCGGCGGCCACGCCGAGCACCACGAGCACGCGCACGAGCCUCCGCAUGGCCUGCAUGGUGAUCGCUACCGCUAGCUAGCGACUGCCUAAGUGCAGUGUGCACCCGACGCGACGCGAUCGCAAGCAAUGCAGUGGAGCUCGAUCAGUGUGGCAGGGAGGCCUGUGACGCGGCCACUUAUAACGAGGUUGGGGGCACACCGGCACAGGGCGCAGGGGCAUGAGAGGAGUGAGCUGUAAGAGAGGUGGUGGGGGUAAGUCAGAUACAGUUACGGGGCACCAAACGGGUGAGGUGAGCUGCCGAGGUGGAACAGCCUAACAGCCGGGGUUGCUUCAAGCUGCAGCGAGCCAGCAAGUGCAGUGGGGAUGGAGUGAGUCACAGGAGGGGGCUCAGGUUUUUUCCUCCUCUUUCUGACCAUCACAAGGUGGAAAUGAUGGUGAUUUGCUUGGUGCGAAGAGGGUUAGUGUGAGGACUGAUUAGCUGCAGCGAUCUUGCCAAUUUAACGGAACUUGGAACGGGACAAAUGAAUGAAAUGGCGCAUCAAUUGCCGCGCCAUUUUUUUUUUGAUGUUUGGCUCUUUGCCGGGCGAAUAGCAAGGAUGAUUUGUAAUUUGGGUCUUGUUUAGUUGCCUAACUUUGGGAUGUCCAAAAUACUGUAGCAACACUGUAGCGUUUCGUUUGUAUUUGUGAAUUAUUGUCCAAAUAUUAACUAAUUAGGCUCAAAAGAUUCGUCUCGCAAAGUACAACAAAACUGUACAAUUAGUUUUUGAUUUUGUCUACAUUUAGUACUCCAUGCAUGUACCGCAAGUUUGAUGUGAUGGGGAAUCUUCUUUUUGCAUAGUGUCAAAGUUGGGAUUUGGAGGUGAACUAAACAAAGCCUUGGUAGAAUUUGUUAUUGGACAACUCGAAUCGAUAGGUGAUUUACAGUUCUGGAAAAUGAAGUAGGUACUCGGGUACAGUACUAGGUGCAAGGUUUCACAGUUGACUGUCCACUAGCACUUCAGCAACCAUGCUGUUACGUUGGAUGAAAAUAACUAGGAUGAUCCAAUACUCCGUGAUCAAUCCAAUUAUCCUAAUGGAUCCAUAGAGAGAGGAAGUGCAGAUCAGGAUCUACCAAGGCUCCUCUGCUCUGUUCCUCACCACAAAGACACUCUGUCCAGUGGUGUCACCAAAUCAGAUCGCCAGGGAAUAUUUCAGGGACAAAAGUAAACGAGCAGCUGGUGCAUUUCUUUCAUCAUGAAUAGCCGGUGCAUCUAACGCAUGAUCUCCAGAGGGCAGGAAAAUGGUCCAAUAAUUCUCCCAGCUCGGCAACAAACAAAAACGACUACGAUCGAGUUGCCAUCGUGCACGGCAGGUUCCGGUGUGCUCCGGCCUGCUACGACGCUAACACCCGAUCCAACCGUCUCCAUCAGCACGGUGGCGCAUCCAUGUACAUGCACAAUUGCACAGUUUCUGAUGGCAAAGAGCAGAGAGGAGUUCUCAGCCUAAAAUGCUAAUGACCAGCAGAGUUGCAGCUUAAACAUCUCAGCUAACAUUUUAAAACAGCUUGUAACCGAAGUUACUAGGCACCAACGAUUGCCUCUAAGCAACUUCACCAUCGAGUAGAACUUGUGAUCUCAGAAUUCCUGCACCAAACCUAUCAUCCAGGAAAGGUAAUGCUGGCAGAAAUGCACCUCGCAACUAAAUUAAAGUGUCGGCAAAUUCAAAAGGUCACGACAUGAGCAUGUAACCACUUGAUGGUUAAUUUACUUUUAACUUGAUUGUUACAGUACAAUAAAAGAAUUUGGGCUUUACUGCGACCCACGGAAUAACUGAUUUGAGCAUUUAUUUACAUGGCUAGGAGGGAAAGAAUUAGAAUGGGACAAUAUGACCUGAGCCUAAAAUGAAUGGAUCGAGGAGCACAAUUGCUGCUCCUCUGGUGUCCUAAGCCGCGGCUGCUUUGCACACCGGGCAUGAAUUCUUCGUCUGCAGCCACUUCUUGAUGCAGUCGGCAUGGAAGUCGUGGUUGCAUUUCAGUGUUCCCAGCACAUCCUUGUCUUUGUAACCCUCCUGCCAGAAUGCAUCCAUAGGUCAGAAUUCGACAGUUUCAGGCCAUGGUUUAUGGACAUCAGUUAAACACAGGUAUUGAGAAAAUGUACCAGGCAAAUGACACAGCUCCCAUCAUCUUGGUCAUCUUGAUCGUUUUGUGUUAGGUCAGAACUGCAACAGACCACUUCUCUCACACACUUAGCAAUUUUUUCAUCAGCCAACCCUGUGUUGACAUUACCCAUAAAUUCUCCCAAAGCCAAGAGCUCCUGCCGGCAAUGAAAUGUAAAGUUAAUAGAAAGGAUCAAAAUUCUGGAGCAAGAAAGAUGAAGAAACAAGAUGUGGUAUUUACCUCAUAACUCAUGUUGUCAAUGUCCAGUCUCAUGUUCCUGUGGGGGUCAGCUGCUGCUGCUCUUGAUUCGUAAAAGACCAACUGGUCCAGCAUCAUAAACCGCUUCACAAACAGCAGCAAGAUCAGUUUCAAGUUCUACAACAAACACUAACUCAAUUUCAUGAAACAGGAAAGAAAAAGCUAUCUACCUCAGCCUCGAGCAUCAAAGGAUGAAGAGCAUAGUAAGAGCUCCUAGCCCUUCUAUUCCUUCCAUUGCUAGCAUGCCCUACAGAGACAUGCCUUCCAUGCCUAGAAGAUGCAGCAGUUCUGGCAGGUAAUGGUUGAGCGAUCCGCAUGGAUGUAGAGGUAGCUGCAGAAGUAGCAGGUGGAUAGCUCCGAAUGACCGCCCCAUGGGGCAUUGCUCUGGAGCCAGAGGAAGCUGCGGGAGCUGGAUGAGGGUAGAUGGGAACAGAGCCACCAUGAACAGUUCUAGGAGCAUAGCCACCAUUAGCAAAUGUUGCACUGCCAGAUGAUGGGACAGUUGGAACAGCACCAACACUUAAGUUGAUGCUUCCAAUAGCAGGAUAGUAAGUCCUCUCCAGAGCUCUGCUAGUGAGUCCUGGUGCACCUACAAAAUCCAUCAAAACUCCUGCACUGUAAGUAUCAACAACAGAAAACUGUGAUAACAUUGGACGGAUGGGUUUGUUCAAUUCAAAAUCAAUGACAGGUAACCAGUGUUUUAAAUCAAGCCAUGAACGCGACUACCAACGAAACUUACAAGGAUCGAGUUCGCUUCCACGAUCUCAUGUUAGAAACAAUAUCAGAUAUCUAGCGUAUUUAAUUAAGCACCGAAUACAAACCUGAUGGUACAGUUCUUGCUGGCACAGAAACAGGUGCUUGGUUCCUUUCCACUGAUGUACCUAGGGAAGCACUUGCAGCUGAACCAAAUGAUGGCAGAUGAAUGGUGUUUGCUGUGUAAGUUGGAGCUGGUCUGGGUUCCAGUGAAACAUUAUGAUUGUGCCGUGCUCUCACAUUCCUCUGAAAUCCUUCUUGAUGGAUUAAGUGUUGGCCAUUCCAACCACUUUGCCCAAUGCUUAAAGGCAUUUGAGGAAGAAAGGGCUCAGCAGGUGGAGCAGGAUUUGGCUGCACUGAGUUAGAUAACUGAGUAUUGGAAGAGCUUCCAACAUAAUAACCAUUAGCACUGAACCCUACAGGGUUUAUGAUGGGAUUUUUUCGUUUCAUUGCAGUCCUUCUGUUGUCCAUAUGGGAACUCACUGGAGGAAAGCCUUCCUCAGAUCUAUGUGGAUAACUCACAGCAGGCUCUGCUAAAUGGCUGCUGGAGCUUCCAGCAGGACAAUGAACAAAGGAAGCAUGUGCGGUCCCUUGGUUCCCAACUCUAUAACCUACAGGUUGCACAGCAUGACUUGAAGAUGGAAGGUCAUUUGAUCUAACUGUCAUAUUCCCAUGACUUGAAGGAUCAAUUCUAAGAGGUGCAUCACUUCGACGGUGCACUAGAAGCUUCUGACCUGAGAUUAGAACAGAAAACAUUACUUAUUUUAUAACAAUUAUGAUCAAUGCACAAAAGUAUAGUGUAUUGGAUUCAGUCCAGCUACCUAAAGGCAGGGAUUCAUUGUGUGGAACAUUCUUGGGUUGAAUAUGAUCCAUCUCUGGCAGCUGGAUAUGGCUGUGGUUACUUCUAGCCAUAAAAAAAGAAGUCAGGUCUGGCCGCCCUUAAUCUGGAAAUGAAAAUAAAAUCUAUAUCAAUAAUCCAGCAUCAACAUAUAGCAUUAAAAACUUGAAUGAAAAAAAUAAAUUGCCAUGACGUUAUCACCAAUAUUGCUAGGUUACUGAUAUAUGCUGUGUAAGCUAUCACAAAAUAAGUGCCGAAAUCAUUCAAGUUCAUUCCAUAUUUCAAUGUUUGAUUGCCAGUACAUGAAUCAAAAAACAAACACAAUUCUGAAAUGAGCAUAAUGAGGGACAGCAAGACAACACAACACAAGAAUCCAGAAUUUCAAUCGAUUCAUAAAACUGCAAAGGUCACACUCACACCCAAAGCAGAACCACCCUUAUGAGACAUUUACAUAGUCGAAUCACAAAUAUGCAAUCCAUAUGAUACUACCUUUACUCGAGAAGUAAAUGGGCUACAAGGUUUUAGACCGAAUCAUUCACAUCCCUUGACAGGUAAAUGUAACAACUGGUAAGCUGACUGCAGAACACUGAUUUGGACACUUUGAAGUGCCCUCAUCGUCCACAAUAAUAGAGCAAUAUAUACAAACUGCCAAGGGGACUUAUCUAGUUAAACCCAGCGACAUGGCACCUAUAAACAACGCAAAAUGAUCCAUCAAAUGGAUUUACAACCACAUUGUAUAUCACAUUAUUCUUUCCAAUCUUUUUAUACAUUGUUAUUAAAUAUAUAAACCAAAUCAAACAAAAUAAUUUUACUUUACAUACCAGCAAACAUAAUAUACAAAGAGAAAAGAACAAAAAGAAGAAAGAGCAGAUUGCAAAUGGAAGAAGAAAUGCUCAAAGCUACAAGCCCAGAUGUCCCCAACUAUGUCAUUCCUAAAAUUCUCUCUGGAUGUGCUUCUGCCCUUCCUCUGUCCAUUGGUAAAUCCACCUCACUCCAAAAUCAACAGCUAUCUAGCUUGUAUUCCUUUCUGACAUGAUUCAUCUUGUCAGAAAUAACACUCCCAGCAUGCAAAACUGGAGACAAGCUGCAGCUUUAAUCCUGUGUAUGAGUUCUUGCUUUCUAGUUCUACAUAACUAAGAGGUUAGAAAACAUCUUCCCUACGCAUGAUCAAUUUCAUAACAGUAAGUAUUGAAGGAUAUGCUAAAUCAACACUCUGAUUGAACUAUGCUCACUACAACCUAACAUUUCACAAAUGACAAUGUCAGGUUCCAUGUUUACACUAUAAAAGUUUAGAUGUAAGUAGUUAAAGCAGCAAAUGUGAUAUGAAUAUAAACCAUCAAAAGAACAGAGUUAAUCUUUAACCAACACAUCACAUGACCAACAGCAUAAAUGACUACCAGAUAAUGUCCCGAUAAGACAUCAAACGAGUGAACAUCACACAACAUUCAGACAAUCAGAUGUCUAAUGUAGCUGAAUCACAACCACCACAUUGUAUUACUACGAGGACAACACCAAUGACAUUGGAGUAUGCCUAAGACAGGUGUUCCGAAGGCACGGUAGUAUAAACUGGGAGAAAUGCACCACAAAUUCCUACUGUAGCAUCUCGGCAUCAUAUCUGAGUAGUCAAGUAAACAAAUGCAGACAACCAUCAUAUCCAUCUACCUGAAGGUAGUACAUUCUAAGUCAAUGGAAAUCAACAUGUCAAAACAGAAAUCACACAUCGAAGGGUCACUGGAUUGAAAAUCAAACUCUAAUAGGCCCGAAGUCACAUUGCUAAUGCUAAACAUCAGCCCUGCAUUCACUUCAACAUAAGAAAAAAUGUUUCGUUUGCCAUUUUUACACCACACAAUGUUUAAGUGGAAACUACAAAGCAUGGAACGAGGAUAAGUCGAAGAUGCAGAAGACGUGAAAAUGGAUACCGGAGCAGAAUAGUUAUGCAGAUUUGAAGAGCUACCAGAACAAUGCUUAGUAGCGAAGGCAGAAAAAGGGGUGCUCAGGGGUAUACCCCCUAAAAUGGAAAGUACAUGCUCAGUUCUAAAAAAGCAAUCUUUGUCCGUAGAAUUAAACUCGAUUAACUACCCUUUUCGAGAAACAAUUAUGGUAGCUUAGCUCUCAUGAUGGCUUACCAGAAAGGAACAUCCACCUAUCCGCAAUGAUACGAGUCCACAUGACCAACGAGAUUGUAGAAUCAGAAUCCCAACCACACACCCCAUCCAUCUAUCCAUGACGAUUCCUCGAAACACCUCGCUACGACUCUAAACAUCUCUAAACGAAUCAACGAGCGCGAAUCGCAUUCCUCAGCUCGGCGCGCCAAAUCGCCUCCAUGCCCGAUGGAAUCGCGCCAUCCAACGGGCCAGCACGCACGAAAACCGACGCCUAGACCCGGACUCUCGGAUAAACGAGCAUCUAAGCCGGAACAAACCACCGAUCGCUCCAUACCACCGGUCAAAUCGCACGAAAACAGCAGAAUCAGGCCGCAAAUCGGAGGGCCGUACCUCAAACGCGAGCCGAUCCGUGGUCCCCGCCGAAUCGGCGACGAAAUCCCCCGGGCGCCGGCGGUAGGGGGAUUCCUCGGGCGGUCGGGAUGAGGAAGGAAGAGGUCGCCGUACGGCGGAAGCUUCGGGGAGGGGAUGGGGUGGGGCGGAGACGCAACCCCGCGCCGCUGCGCCUGCCGCUGUAAACAAACAGCUGAAUUUGUCCGUGUAAGGAAGGGGAACGGGGUGGGCGAGGAGGGUGACGGGGUAUUUAUAAUGGCACGCAGGCACGCGGCCCGGGCGGGCGGAGAACGGGGAGGGGAGGCGGGGUCCGGGACGGAGGAGGAGGGGCCCGCCAGGCGGUGGGCCCCACAGACCUGUGGCUGGCCCGCGCUCCCUCGGCUCUCUCUCUCCUUUACGACCAGCGAGCUGCCACUGCCAGGAUAACAAAAAGUUCCUUUCCGAGUAGACGUGAAUUUUCUUUUCUUUUCUUUUCUUUUUUUGGGUCUCCGGUUUUCAGCUGGGCCCACGCGUCAGUCGGACUCGGGGGCCGGUCCUGACGCGACACGUGCUGUAUCUGUACAUAGCAUUGGUGUGCCCCCUGAUGGGCUCUCAAAAAAAGUUUUCAGCUGGGCCCACGCGUCGGUCGGACUAGCGGGGCCCGACGUGACACGUGUUGUAUCGGUGUGGUACGUAUCGUUGUGCAGGGGGCAUGGGUGGUAAGACGUGACGUGAACCAUCCAUCGGCACGUAGAGUAAAAAUUGCUUGUUUGACCGGCCGGCGGCCCGGCAUGGCAUGUGUCACGGACGCACGCCACGAUGUCAUGUACGAGUAGAAGAGUAGUAGUACCCCUUAUUCGCUGCGAUCCCUGCUGUCGUCUCUCGUUUUCGGCAUGGGGGAAGUGAGGUAGAUGGAUACCGUGUGUGGGAUGGCUUUGCCUUGCCCCUUUGUUUUCUCCAAGUUCACACUCACGCUCAAUGGAAAACGGGGCAGGGGUCAGGGGAUACGGUACAGGAACAGGACGGCUAUGGAAAAGGCUUUGGAUUCCAACCUAACGAAGUGGGGUGGGGUGGGGUGGGGGGGGGCGGGGGGGUGCGGGCCGGGAAAGUUGGAGGUUCGGCGUCAGGAGGAGUAUGGAGUAUUCACUCCGCGGGGCGGGAACCGAUGGGGCCGAGCGCAGGAGGCGCAGACUGGCAGGUUGACCCCGGUGCGGGGGGCGAUGACAUGUCCCACACUUCCCUGAAACGGGGGGGAGUCCCGAGAGGGAGAGAGGGAGCCUCUUUUUGUUGCUCUCUGCUGGAGUGCUCGUGGCUACUACUCUUCAGGAAUCACAAGUCUCCGGUACACCCCACACCCCAGAGGCCCAGACCGGUACUACACGAACCCUUCUCCUGCACUGCAAGCCGCAGGUGGGGCCCGUGAACAGCGUAUGGUUCGUAAAGAUUUGAGAUUCCUCCACGCUUUCAUGAUCACCGAAAAGUUUCGUUUUCCUUUAUCUUUUUGCCGGACGAAAAUAAGUGAUCGCACAUUUUCCUUUUUCCUUUCUUCUGUCCGGCACGAUCCUCCCCUAGCAUUGCACAAGACCGUGCGGCUCAGGACGGACGGGCGGAGCCGAGGAGGGCUUUCCCAGCAAGGGAAGAAAGGUAGCCGCUGUACCUGUACUGGACCAAACGGAGCCGCUCUUGGAUACGGCGCGGGGGCCCACUCGGCAGCGAGCCAGCGAGAGCGGUGGCCACUGGUCAGAGCGCGGGAAGGAAACGUGGCCGUGGCCCGCCAGGCGGGACACCAGGGAGGCAGGCAGGCAGGCAUCCCAUCAAUCGGCGGCGGCAUGUGACCAGCAACCAGCCAGAGGCAGGCACGCAGGCGGGCGUCCGCGUAGUUAUCGCGCCCCCGACGCAACGGUUCACGCUUGGGCCACCCCACCCAGCCGGCCGCGGCCGGAGACGCGGACCACGGCCACGGGGGGCGCCGCCCCCCCGUAGCACGCGAGGCGAGCGGAGCCAGCUGCGCGGCCGCGCGAGCUCCACAUGGGUUUUUCCCUUUUUCGCCAUGUGAUCCCGUCGAAUCGCCCGUUCCUUCCAUCCGCUCGUCGUCCAACCCAACCCCCGAAUACCAGAGCGGGCAACACGUCGUCCCCCCGCUGCGGGGUCCGUCACCGCCCCCGUCACGUGCGGCAGGGGCGCCCAGCGCCAGUGGGGGAAGGUGGUGGCGUGGGUGCGCGACCGCGACCGCGUCGCCCGUCGGGAGGCCCGGCGCUCAUCGGGUGCGGUCGCCACCGCCCGCUCGCUCGCGCCACGGCCCCACGGAGACCCCGCCCCGGUUCGACUCGACCUCAUCAUCCGCCCCCACACCCCACUACAUCCAGAGCAUCCCACCAGCCACCAAUAAGCGGCGCCCCGCGGGCGAACCUUUUCUUGCCCGAUCGAGCUCUGGGACUGGGGACUCCGUGGAUCAGACCAGGCCGGCCGAGCGUCACGCCAACGCAAUCCGCUCUCGCAAGUAUCAUUUGUGUCAACAGGGACACGGCCACACGGGGAUCCGGGCAAUGAACUCGCAAUUCGCAAAGACCCGAAAGAAGAGAGACAGAUGCGGAAGUCAUCGCCUCUGCGGCUUUGCAGCUCCCGGCACGCCUACGGCCUACGGGCCUACUUGCACUCAAAUGGGGUGGAAAUGGAUUAGUGCAGCGAGGUGAGAUCAGUCGCUCGCGCACGUUAGCCUAAUAGCCGAGAUUUGAUAAGCUCUACUAGUACGCUCCUAGACGUAUCUGACCACAUGGUACACAACAGUACACGCACGCACGAAACUAGUCUUGGGCCUUGUUUAGUUGGGGAAUUUGGGAGGUACCAAAUUACUGUUACAGCACUGUAGCACACUGUAGCGUUUCGUUUGUAUUUGUGAAUUAUUGUCCAAAUAUUGACUAAUUAGGCUCAAAAGAUUCGUCUCGCAAAGUACAACAAAACUGUGCAAUUAGUUUUAAAUUUCAUCUACAUUUAGUACUCCAUGCAUGUACCGCAAGUUUGAUGUGAUGGGGAAUCUUCUUUUUGCAUAGUGUCAAAAUUGGAAGUUGGGAGUAACUAAACAUGGCCUUGGAAAAAUAGUGAAGGGAAUGAUCACACGAAUUUGGCCUUUGAGAGUCUGAGACCGGUGCUCCAAUCCCUCCGACGGAAAGUCGGUGAACGAUCAAAAGAUUCCGGCAGCAAGCCUGAUGCACAAAAACCGUGUCAAAAAACCAGGCUGAACAAAUACCUUUCUACGUUUUUGGUUCCUCCACCAUACAGUACAAAUUCACAAGGGAGUUCGCUACAAGUCCUCACUCACAUCAUGAGCAGCCAGCCAACAUUGACCGUCGGUUUCCGGGCACUUGCGAGGAACAUCUUUUCGUCCGCAUCAGGUUACGCUGCCGUUUAAUCCUGUGCCAACCACCUCAGUAUACGAGGAGACCUGAUUUUAUUCGCUUCCACACCGUUGCUGACACGAGAAGAACCGUCGUCACAGCCGUGUAGAACCUUUUUCUUUUCCUAGCUGUGUACAAAUUUUACAACCGGGCUUUCGCUAAUGCGGCCGGCUUGAAGCUCGCGACCCCGGUGAUCUCCCUGCCGGUCACCAGGCUGUUGAUGUCGUACGUGCCUUCGUACGAGUAAAUGGGCUCCAGGUCGCAGAACGCCUGUGGAGAUCGCGACAGUUAAUACAAUUUACAAAAGAAAAAGGGUGAUAAAAUUAAAGGUGUCCUACGAAAUGGUUGAGGUGUAAACCACUAGAACAACAAACCAACUAGCCAUGAGCACAUUUCAGUAUAUCAAUCAGGUCCCUGUAGUCUGUACCUUGGCCACAAGGAAAUCAGCCAAAAUCCCGUUUCCACCUAGCAGCUCUCGGCCGAGGGAAACCACCUCGCGGGCCGUUCUGGAGUUCCAAGCCUAACAGUGACAUCCAGGAAGGAAGGAAGGAAGGAAAUUGUUAGCCUCUGAUAAUUCAAAGCAGAGGCAUAGUUCGAGAACAAGCAUAUUUGGCAGCUAGGGAUCGGGUCACGAACCUUUCCUAGGCUAGCGUGGCCUGGCGUCAUUUUCCCCGACUCGUAAAGCUUGCAUAGGCGCCAGCCAACAAGAAGCAUGGAUUGGAUGUUACCGAGCAUCCGGACAAGUUUCUCUUGGAUCAGCUGAAAAGCUGUCAGGGGAACUCCAAACUGCUUCCUUUCUUUCAGGUAUCUGGUUCAAUUUUGACGAAAUUGUAAAGUAAUUGCUAAUGGCAAAAGAAGUGUAAAAUGGUAUAGUGGUCCGUACCGAUGGCACAUAUCGAAGACCCCCAUUGAUAUGCCGAUUGGUUGCCAUGCCACCAUGAUACGCGAAAUAGCGAGGACCUGUUUUGUGUUGUAAAAGUAGGUAAGCGGACUGGAUUACAUCACCUGACAGCAUAGCAAUUUAGCAUAACAGAAGCAGAAUAAGAAAAAUGUGAUCAGUACCUUGCUUAUAUCCUGAAAUGAAUUGACACCUGGCAAUCGGUCCUCCUCAGGGACGAACACUUUAUUAAAAACUAUAUCACCGUUCUGAACCAUCCUAAGACCAAUUUUGUUCUCAAUCUUUGUAGCUUUCAAACCAGGAGCUCCUUUCCUCACAAUAAACCUAGAGGCAAUCAAACAGACUGUGACUAGACAACAAGAUAAUUAAAAUGAAAAAGAGCAGCACAAAAAAACACCAAUUAGAUAAAAAAAAUACUAGUUUAUUCAUGCUCAGUUUCAUGCUUCAAAGGAAAGUUCAUCAGUGGUUCAAGACAUGAUGAUUUACCCAUUUAAUUGUUUUGUAUCUGCAUUCCUAGCUAAUACCACGAGCACAUCUGCAAAGGUACUGUUGCCUAUCCAGCGCUUUUGACCAUCUAUGUGCCAUCCACCAGGUACCUGUUCCACAUGACACCAAGAUUUAAGCUGCAUGCUACU
rnacentral:lncRNA from 1 species